AUGCUUGCUUCAGCAGCAUAUAUACUAAAAUUGGAAUGAUACAGAGAAGAUUAGCACGGCCCCGGCACAAGGAUGACACACAAAUUCAUGAAGCGUUCCAUAUUUUU
rnacentral:snRNA from 1 species